AUUGAACGCUGGCGGCAUGCCUAACACAUGCAAGUCGAACGGCAGCACAGUCGUAGCAAUACGAUGGGUGGCGAGUGGCGGACGGGUGAGGAAUGCAUCGGAAUCUGCCCGAUCGUGGGGGAUAACGCAUCGAAAGGUGCGCUAAUACCGCAUGAGAUCGAGAGAUGAAAGCGGGGGACCGAAAGGCCUCGCGCGAUUGGAUGAGCCGAUGCCGGAUUAGCUAGUUGGCGGGGUAAAGGCCCACCAAGGCGACGAUCCGUAGCUGGUCUGAGAGGAUGAUCAGCCACACUGGGACUGAGACACGGCCCAGACUCCUACGGGUGGCAGCAGUUGGGAAUCUUGCACAAUGGGGGAAACCCUGAUGCAGCGACGCCGCGUGGAGGAUGACGGAUCUAGGUCUGUAAACUCCUUUUUCAUGGAAAGACUUAGGACGGUACCAUGAGAAUAAGGACCGGCUAACUACGUGCCAGC
rnacentral:rRNA from 1 species